rnacentral:rRNA from 1 species
UACGUAGGGGGCAAGCGUUGUCCGGAUUUAUUGGGCGUAAAGAGCGUGUAGGCGGUUAGGUAGGUCCGUUGUGAAAACUCGAGGCUCAACCUCGAGACGCCGAUGGAAACCAUCUAACUAGAGUCCGGAAGAGGAGAGUGGAAUUCCUGGUGUAGCGGUGAAAUGACGCAGAUAUCAGGAAGAACACCCGUGGCUAAGGCGGCUUCUGGACGAUAACUGACGCUGAGACGCGAAAGCGUGGGGAGCAAACAGG